ACCAUCGACCGUUAAAUGUACC
rnacentral:miRNA from 1 species